AUUCAUGCACCCUAAUUGAACUCAAAAUUUUAUCAUAUUCCUAACAUUGUUAUAUUCCUAACAUUGUUAUUUGAACCUAAAAAAAAAUAACAAAAUCCAAACCAAACUUAAAUUCAUAAAUAAACCGAACUAUUACUAUAUUUUUUGAAUCAAAAACCACAACAGAACCGAUGCCAAACCGAAAAUAAAAAAAAUAUAACCUGG
rnacentral:lncRNA from 1 species